rnacentral:rRNA from 1 species
CAGUUCGGAUUGCAGGCUGCAACCCGCCCUGCAUGAAGUUGGAAUUGCUAGUAAUCGCGGAUCAGCAUGCCGCGGUGAAUACGUUCCCGGGCCUUGUACACACCGCCCGUCACACCAUGAGAGUUGGAGAUACCCGAAGCCUAUGAGCUAACUUUUAGAGGCAGUAGUCGAAGGUAGAAUCAAUGAUUGGGGUGAAGUCGUAACAAGGUAUC